GAGUUUGAUCGUGGCUCAGAUUGAACGCUGGCGGCAGGCCUAACACAUGCAAGUCGAGCGGUAGAGAGAAGCUUGCUUCUCUUGAGAGCGGCGGACGGGUGAGUAAUGCCUAGGAAUCUGCCUGGUAGUGGGGGAUAACGCUCGGAAACGGACGCUAAUACCGCAUACGUCCUACGGGAGAAAGCAGGGGACCUUCGGGCCUUGCGCUAUCAGAUGAGCCUAGGUCGGAUUAGCUAGUUGGUGAGGUAAUGGCUCACCAAGGCGACGAUCCGUAACUGGUCUGAGAGGAUGACCAGUCACACUGGAACUGAGACACGGUCCAGACUCCUACGGGAGGCAGCAGUGGGGAAUAUUGGACAAUGGGCGAAAGCCUGAUCCAGCCAUGCCGCGUGUGUGAAGAAGGUCUUCGGAUUGUAAAGCACUUUAAGUUGGGAGGAAGGGCAGUAAAUUAAUACUUUGCUGUUUUGACGUUACCGACAGAAUAAGCACCGGCUAACUCUGUGCCAGCAGCCG
rnacentral:rRNA from 1 species